GAGUUUGAUCGUGGCUCAGGACGAACGCUGGCGGCGUGCUUAACACAUGCAAGUCGAACGAGAAUCUACUGAAAGAGUUUUCGGACAAUGGACGUAGAGGAAAGUGGCGGACGGGUGAGUAACGCGUGAGGAACCUGCCUUGAAGAGGGGACAACAGUUGGAAACGACUGCUAAUACCGCAUGAUGCAUAAGGGUCGCAUGAUUCUUAUGCCAAAGAUUUAUCGCUUCAAGAUGGCCUCGCGUUCUGAUUAGCUAGUUGGCGGGGUAACGGCCCACCAAGGCGACGAUCAGUAGCCGGACUGAGAGGUUGAACGGCCACAUUGGGACUGAAAUACGGCCCAGACUCCUACGGGAGGCAGCAGUGGGGAAUAUUGGGCAAUGGGCGCAAGCCUGACCCAGCAACGCCGCGUGAAGGAAGAAGGCUUUCGGUAUGUAAACUUCUAUCAGCAGGGAGAAAUGACGGUACCUGACUAAGAAG
rnacentral:rRNA from 1 species